UACGUAGGGUGCAAGCGUUGUCCGGAAUUACUGGGCGUAAAGAGCUCGUAGGCGGCUUGUCGCGUCGUUCGUGAAAACCUGCAGCUCAACUGCGGGCUUGCGGUCGAUACGGGCAGGCUAGAGUUCGGUAGGGGAGACUGGAAUUCCUGGUGUAGCGGUGAAAUGCGCAGAUAUCAGGAGGAACACCGGUGGCGAAGGCGGGUCUCUGGGCCGAUACUGACGCUGAGGAGCGAAAGCGUGGGGAGCGAACAGG
rnacentral:rRNA from 1 species